CAGGGUGACAGGUGGUGCAUGGUUGUCGUCAGCUCGUGUCGUGAGAUGUUGGGUUAAGUCCCGCAACGAGCGCAACCCUCGACCUUAGUUGCCAGCAUUCAGUUGGGCACUCUAAGGUGACUGCCGGCUAAAAAGUCGGAGGAAGGUGGGGAUGACGUCAAAUCAUCAUGCCCCUUAUGACCUGGGCUACACACGUGCUACAAUGGGCGGUACAAAGGGUCGCGAACCCGCGAGGGGGAGCCAAUCCCAAAAAGCCGCUCUCAGUUCGGAUUGCAGGCUGCAACUCGCCUGCAUGAAGCCGGAACCGCUAGUAAUCGCGGAUCAGCAUGCCGCGGUCGAAUACGUUCCCGGGCCUU
rnacentral:rRNA from 1 species